AUACGUAGGGGGCAAGCGUUAUCCGGAAUCAUUGGGCGUAAAGGGUGCGUAGGCGGCCCUAUGGGUCAGAGGUUAAAGGCUACGGCUUAACCGUAGUAAGCCUUUGAAACUGUAGGGCUUGAGUGCAGGAGAGGAGAGUGGAAUUCCUAGUGUAGCGGUGAAAUGCGUAGAUAUUAGGAGGAACACCAGUGGCGAAGGCGACUCUCUGGACUGCAACUGACGCUGAGGCACGAAAGCGUGGGUAGCGAACAGGAUUAGAUACCCUGGUAGUCCACGCCGUAAACGAUGAGUGCUAGGUGUUGGGGGUCAUACCUCGGUGCCGCAGUUAACGCAUUAAGCACUCCGCCUGGGGAGUACGUACGCAAGUAUGAA
rnacentral:rRNA from 1 species